rnacentral:rRNA from 1 species
GUCUGACCUGCUCACUGAUUUAUUUUAAAGAGCCGCGGUAUAUUGACCGUGCAAAGGUAGCAUAAUCAUUAGUUUCUUAAUUAGAGACUGGAAUGAAUGGUUUAACGAGAAAUUAACUGUCUCUUAAUAAUUAUUUGAAUUUAACUUUUGAGUUAAAAGGCUUAAAUAUUUCUUUAGGACGAGAAGACCCUAUAGAGCUUAACAUUUUUAUUUAAUUAUUUUUUAUAGAUUAUUUUUUAAUAUUAAAUUUUAAUGUUUUGUUGGGGUGACAUGAAGAAUAAUUAAACUCUUCAUUAUAAAAUCAUUGAUUUAUGUUUAUUUGAUCCAUAAUUUAUGAUCAUAAGAUUAAGUUACCUUAGGGAUAACAGCGUAAUUGUUUUUGAGAGUUCAUAUCGACAAAAUGGAUUGCGACCUCGAUGUUGGAUUAAGAUUAAUUUUAGGUGUAGUAGCUUAAUAAUUAGGUCUGUUCGACCUUUAAAUUCUU